rnacentral:rRNA from 1 species
UACGUAGGGUCCGAGCGUUGUCCGGAAUUAUUGGGCGUAAAGGGCUCGUAGGCGGUCUGUUGCGUCGGGAGUGAAAACCCAGGGCUUAACCCUGGGCCUGCUUUCGAUACGGGCAGACUAGAGGCAUUCAGGGGAGAACGGAAUUCCUGGUGUAGCGGUGAAAUGCGCAGAUAUCAGGAGGAACACCGGUGGCGAAGGCGGUUCUCUGGGAAUGUUCUGACGCUGAGGAGCGAAAGUGUGGGGAGCGAACAGGG